CUUAAGUGUAGCACGUGAUCUCUGCCCUCCCGGGCUCCCCAGGACAGGCCUCAUGAAGGCACGAAAUGACUGCGUACCUACAACGUACCCCAUACUGCCCUGGACCAUAGAGGUACACGGUGAUGAAAACUCAAAGAGAAUCCAAUUAACUUGACAAGAUUGUGCAGCAAGGACAAGGAAGACUAGAAACUAUCUCCAGCCAAUCCCAAGAACCAGACUCUUCUCAUCAUUCACAAGACAUUUUAACAAAAAACAAAACAAAGCAAGGCUCUUCCAUCACAGGUCAGAAGCAUGGGGCUUCCCUCCUUCCCAUCACCACUGCCUCCUUACACACAGGGAAUUCCAUGAGAAGCACCUCGACAAGGCAGACAAGAAAGUGCACAGAAAGAUAUGAGUGCUGUUGCACCAGAGACCUGGCAGCUUCUGAAAGUAGAACAGCGACUUGGAAUGUAAAGAAAUUUACACUAAUGGCUUCUUCCCAAGGAGACUAACAUAAGUGGCAAAGCUGAAACUUAAACUCCCAUCUCCUGGUUUGUGACUUUCAUGCAAGAAGGCCACUGAAGGGGCAUCUGGGUG